rnacentral:rRNA from 1 species
AUUGAACGCUGGCGGCAGGCCUAACACAUGCAAGUCGAACGGUAGCAGGGUUUGGGCUUCUGACUACUGGCGAAGAGGGGAGUACUGCUGCGGAACAUAUCCGUAGGUGGGGGUUAGCGCGGCAAAACGUGGGCUAAUAUACCAUAUAAUCUCAGACUGAAAACGGGGGACAGCACAGGAACUUUUGACCUCGCGCGAUUGGAGGGGCCGAUGUCGGAUUAGCUAGUUGGCGGGGUAAAGGCCCACCAAGGCGACGAUCCGUAGCUGGUCUGAGAGGAUGAUCAGCCACACUGGAACUGAGACACGGUCCAGACUCCUACGGGAGGCAGCAGUGGGGAAUAUUGGACAAUGGGCGCAAGCCUGAUCCAGCCAUGCCGCGUGCGUGAAGAAGGCCUUCGGGUUGUAAAGCGCUUUUGGUAGGAACGAAAAGCUGUACGUUAAUACCGGGCUGUUCUGACGGUACCUACAGAAUAAGCACCGGCUAACUUCGUG